CACACACACACACACACACACACAUGCCCGCAUGCACGCACACACACUCACACACACUCCCUCUGUCUCACACACACUCCCUCUGUCACACACACCCACACACACACACACACACACACACACACACACACACACACACACACAGCUGUGGUUAGUGUGUGUGUAUGUGUGUGUGUGAAAGAGUGUGUGGCUUAGUUAUGGAUCAUCAGUGAAACUGAGCUGAAGACUGACGAGAGAUUUACCCAGAAUCCUCUGCAGGAGCAGUCAGCAGCUGUGUGUGUGUGUGUG
rnacentral:lncRNA from 1 species